GCUUGCAGCCAUAGGCUCAUUUGAUCUGAUCCCAUUGCAUCUCACUAGCUAAGCAGAGCUAUACUACUCACUAUUUGGAUGGGAGACCCCCGAAGUAAGGGGUGAUGCUGCAGGAA
rnacentral:rRNA from 1 species